rnacentral:rRNA from 1 species
AUAGAACGCUGGCGGCAGGCCUAACACAUGCAAGUCGAGCGAGCGGCGGACGGGUGAGUAAUGUAUGGGGACUGCCCGAUAGAGGGGGAUAACUACUGGAAACGGUGGCUAAUACCGCAUACUAUCGGAUAACCCAUAUGGGAUUAGCUAGUAGGUGGGGUAACGGCUCACCUAGGCGACGAUUUCUAGCUGGUCUGAGAGGAUGAUCAGCAAAAUGGGGGCGGGGACACGGCCAAGACUCCAAGGGAGGGAGCAGUGGGGAAUAUUGCACAAUGGGCGCAAGUCUGAUGCAGCGAUGCCGAGUGUAUGAAGAAGGCCUUAGGGUUGUAAAGUACGUUCAGCGGGGAGGCGUUACCCGCAGAAGAAGCACCGGCUAACUCCGUGCCAGCAGCCGCGGUAAUUC